UGUUUAACAAUAAAGUUCAUCAGGGACC
rnacentral:piRNA from 1 species